rnacentral:misc_RNA from 1 species
GGAAGGAUCAUUAACAAAAAAUCCCAAAAAAACAUUACGCAAGUACUGUCUUUUUUGAGUAAUUUUUUUACUUUUACGAAAAACUUGGGAAUCGUUUUUAAACAUUUCUUGAAAAAGAAAAUACUUUGACAAAAAAAACAAAAAACAAACCUAAUAAUCUAUAAUCUCGAAAACUCGAUACAAAGGAUGACUAGGUUCCAUGUUGGAUGAAGAGCGCAGUAAAGUGCGAUAAGUGGUGUGACAUACAAAACUAUGAAUCAUCAAAAUCUUGAAUGCAAAUGGCAGAAAUGUGAAACAUUUCUAAGAAGGAAAGAGAGAAGACAAAAAAAACUUACAAAUGAGAUUUGAAUUCGAAGAGAAUUCAUGUCUUAAAAAUCAGAGUAGGACAUUGGGACAGGAAGAAAGGGGAAAAAAGAGGGGCUCUUGAGUGGGCAAAGAAGGAAGUAAUUGCGAAAAUGGCUGGUACAGCUCUUGCAGGCAUCUCUGUUGCACAAUGGAGACUCGGUGUGUGUGCUUUUCUCGAAAUCAGGAUAAAAAAUAUCGUCUUUUUUACUUGCACAGCAGAGAGAAGUGAGAAACCUGGGUCUUGCAAACAGAGGUGAAGCGAGAGAGUGGAACGCUGUAAAAAAAGCAGAUACUUUAAUUUCUUCUCUUUGUGUCCUUUUUUUGCUGGUCAAUGUCUGUUGAAAAAAAACAUUUCUCGUCCUCUUUACCUUCUUCGUUACGGGGUGAAUUUAAACAUAUUAUUAACCCCAGGAAAAGAAAUCAAAUGAGAUUCCGCUAGUAGUGGCGAACGAAGACGGAAAAGGUCAAAGGAAAAGGGCGUGCUUGUGUAAUCGAGUACUCCGAUGCACCUUUUGAGCAAGAGGCUGGUGGGGACGCAAGGCUUGCAAAGUCCAAUGGAAAUUGGCGCCAAUGAAGGUGAAAGCCCUGUAGCUGGGCCUUGCGUUUCACGGAUCUCCUUUUGCUUUCGAGUCGCGUACUUUGGGAAUAGUGCGUAAAAUGGGAGGUAAAUUUCUUCCAAACCUAAAUAUGACAUGGAGACCGAUAGCGGAGAAGUACUGCGAAGGAAAGUUGAAAAGAAUUGUGAGAACAAAGUUAAAAGUACCUGAAAUUGUAUCGAGGGAACAAUUUGGCGGUUGUGAGUGUGGCGGCGCGCGGUUUACUGCGUGUUGUCAGAUAAGGGGGAGGAGGACGUGAGGAAAAAGGCUGGGAAUGGUGGAACGAAGAUUCGUUCUGAUACAACCUGGUUUCAAACUGCACGGCCUCUACCAGGAAAAGUGCGGAUUUCAAAUGGGGCGCUGGAGUUUCUUUUGGGGCUCGGGUUGGGGGACAAGAAAUUGUGCCUUGAUCAUGGGUUUCACACAGGGGCUUCAACCACCAAGGUCCGCAUGCUCUUAUAAUAUGUCUCACACGUUAAAUAUCCCGUCUUGAAACACGGAUCAAGGAGUGCAUCAGAGUUGAGAGUAUUUUGGUGGAAAAACCAAUAAUGCGCAAUGAAAGUAAAUACGAUAGAAGGGGUGCAGAGCCCUGGCAUAUUGUGCCGGUCCGAAUUUUUUUGAAGGAUCUGAGCGAAAUUAAUUCUGAUACAACCCGAAAGAUGAUGAUCUUAACACGACGAGGAUGAAGCCUGGUGAAAAUCAGGUGGAGGUCCGACGGGCGUUCUAACGUGCAAAUUGAUGCUCACAGUUGUGUUAAGGGGCGAAAUACUCAUCGAAUCAUUUAGUUGCUGGUUUUCUU